UUUUUUUUUUUUUUUUUUUUAUCUUUUUGCUAUUUCUUUGGACCGCUCCCGUGGCAUAUAGAGGUUCCCAGGCUAGGGGUCAAAUCGGAGCUGUAGCCGCCGGCCUACACCAGAGCCACAGCAACGCGGGAUCCAAGCCGUAUCUGCAACCUACACCACAGCUCAGGGCAACGCCGGAUCCUUAACCCACUGAGCAAGGGCAGGGACCGAACCCGCAACCUCAUGGUUCCUAGCCAGAUUCGUUAACCACUGCACCACGACGGGAACUCCUAAGCUUCAUUUUCAUCUAAAACCUAGAAACAGUUUUACUAGGUAAAAUAUAGGACACAUAGAUCAAAUUGAAAUUCAAUUAAACAAUGAAUAAUUUUUAAUAUAAAUAUGUCCCAUGCACUACUAGCAAAGUGUGUUAAAAUGCAACAUCAUACAAUUGUUUAUAUGGAAUGUACAUCUACCUGGGCAUCCUCUAUUUCUGGCAACCCUAGGAAGAAAUAAUAAUCCUUACUCAUAGCAUUUAGAUGAGCAUUUAAAAAGCCUCUAUUUCCUAGAGACUGUACUAAUGAGCUCUUCAAUUUUUUUUUAAAGGGAUUUUGUGUGUGUUUUCUUUUCCAUUAUGGUUUAUUGCAAGACACUGAAUAUAGUUCCCUGUGCUAUAUAGUAGGACAUUGAUGUUUAUCUAUUUUACACGUGGUAGUUUGUACCUAAUCCCAAACUCCAAUUUAUCCCUCCCCCACCCUCAUUCCCCUUUGGUAGCCAUAAGUUUUUUUUCCUUUGUCUGUGACUAUGUUUCUGAUUCUAAAAUAAGUUCAUUUGUGUCCACAUAUAACUUACAUCAUAUGACAUCUUUUUCCUCUGUCUGGCUUACUUCACUCAGCAUGAGAAUCUCUUGGUUCAUCCAUGUUUCUGCAAAUGUCAUUAUUUCAUUCUUUUAUGGCUGAGUAAUAUUCCAUUCUGUAUGUAUACCACAUCUUCUUCAUCCAUUCAUCUGCUGAUGGACAUUUAGGUUGCUUUCAUGUCUCGUCUACUGUAAAUAGUGCUGCUAUGAACGUGAGGGCUCUUCAACUGUUAUAAAUCUCAUUUGGUAUUGACACUAGUCCAAUGCAGGAUGCAAAGUUAUUAUCUUCAUUUUCCAGAUUAACCAAUUCAGAAAUCUGUCCAAAGUCACACAGUUGUGAUAGCAGAGCCAAGAUUCCAGAUGGAGCUAUUUCACACCAAAGCCAGGAAACUUAACCUCUAUGUCAGCUGUAUCUGAAACUUGAACAUGCAUCAUGAUCAUCAGGAAAGCCUGAUAACAUAGAGAUUACUGGGCCCAGAUCCCUGAGCUUCUGAUUUAGGAGCUUUGGGUAGGACUUAAUAAUCUAGUUUCCACAUGUCCCCAGGUAUUGCUGACACUGCUGGUCUAGGGAACACAAAUUUUGACAACCAUGUCUUCUGCUGCAGUGCCAUGUGCCAGCAACAACACUUGUCCCAUAAAAGAAAUCUAUAUGUCACCAUUCAUUAUGAGCCAUUCAAGAAAUUUAGUACCUAGUAGUCAUCUACUGCUUUUUUUUAAUUGUUACUGAAGUAGAAGGUAAUAUGUAACCCCAUAAGCAUUAUUCUAAAAGCCCUAAACUUUUUAAGGCCAACAGCAACAGCUCUUUCCAAAGAAAUCCCAUAUCAUCCCUUCUUCCUCGACUUUCCCAAUGCUUAAAGUGGGUGAGGGAGUCCAGAGCCAUGGAGCCAUGGAGACAUUUCGUGACAGUUCCUUUGAAAAUCUGCUCUAAGGUGAUCUGGUAUUUCAUGUCUAUCCUACCGCAGUGCUCGGUGGAAUCUCCUAUAUUGACACAGUUAUACAAAAGACUAGGAAAGGCCAGCUGAGUCUCUAGUUAGAGGCCUUGGUUCCCUGAGAGUGAGGGGUCCUACACAGGAUGCUGAAGCAAAAUGAGUGGAAGACGCAAAGGCUUUGAAGGCACCCAAGUCAAAAAGUCAGAAAACACAGACACUAGACACCUAACCAGGCACAAAGGCAGGAAUGGCCUCAUGAACACAGGGGCAGAAUCAAAGCUCAGCAUCUAGACCAAAAUUAAAGUGAACAAGAACAACUUAGGAAGCAAUGAGAUUUGGGACAAUUUUAGGUAACAUCAUCAGGGAUUCUAAUACUUAAAUGAGGUGGAAAACUUGUGCUGGAGACCUUGGACUGAUUUUGCUCUAUAUAUCCUAAAGCAGGUUAGUUCUCUGCUUCAGGUAUAUGCAACCAGAUUCUUUAAAAAUUGCAAGAAGUCUCCAGAGAUGUUUAUAAGCUAAAUAAGACAUAAAGGAUAGACUCCCAGCACUGCCCAUUCCCCUACAGCAAGAGAGCAGCAGCCCCAAUCCCAGAAGCUGCUGGCCCUAUUAGAUCCAAGUUUCUUGAUAGCUAACCUACUUGGAAGGAGUAAGUUUAUAUCCUCAUAACCUCUUCUUUCCCAUUGCUACACCAAUAUUGGCUAUCUCUGCUCACUAGCACACACCAAAGGGCAGCACCUGAAUGGUCAGUCAGUCCCACCAGCAGCUAGAACCAAUGAGAGCCUGGUUCAAUGGGUUUUAGUAGAAAAUUCCUAAUAGGACUGAGGAAAUGGAAAUUAUCUGCAACUCCCACAUCCAGCCAAUAAUUGCCACUCCAUAUGUCCAGUGGGUCUGAUGAACUACAACCAGAUAGUGCUUUUCCAGGAGAAUAAUAUCAUCCAGGAUGUCUUUUUGGCAUCUAGGGUCAGUAUGAUUUUCCUGCUUUUCCUGCAAGUCAAAGCAAGUGAUUUGUGACAGACUUUGCAAACAGCAUACUCCACAGCUCAUAGCAAACCACACAGCAUUAGCUUUCAUUUGUAUCUUAUAGAACAGCACAUCAUCUUCUCCAGUUCUCUUGAUUUCUUCUUUGUUUAUCUAUGUAUCUAUCUAUCGAUCUACCUACCAUUUCAUCCGUCCAUCCAUCCAACCAUCUAUCUACUCAUCUACCCACCCAUGUGUCCUGAAAAAAGAAUGGAUAUAAGUAUAACUGAUUCACUUUGCUGCAUGCCUGAACUUUUAAUACAACAUUGCAAGUCAAUUAUACUCAAAUAAUGUUUUAAUUUUAAAAUAUAGACAAUUAUUUACAAUUUAAAAAUCAGAAUAACAGUGAAGGAAACAGUGAACAAUUUAAGCCAACAUUCGUAACUGAUGGCUGCCUUGAUUUUAAAGAGUCUUCCCUAAAAAAAACAAGAAAUACAGCUAUUUGCAUUUGCAUAUAUGCAAUAGGAACUUUACACUGUGAUAAGCAUUAUGGGAUCCAAUUUUCUUAAAGAAUACUGAAAUAUUGUCCCAGUUCAACUCCAGAAAUGCCAGCGUUUUUGCAGACAUCAAGGUGACCAUUCAUAUCAGAGCUAUAUGAAUAAAACCCUCUGGAAAUAUACACAGACCAUACUAUGACCCCAUAUAGAAUAACCCUGAAUAACAUGUCAAUUUAAAAAUCUAAAAAUAAAAUAUUAGUAAUCAAUAAUAACUCAAUUUCUAGUAAUUAGACCCUAAUUGUUUUUAAAAAUGAAAGCCUAUGGAAUUAAUGUAAUUAACCUGGAAGAAAUAAAUAUUUGCAUAUUUUAAUUAUUUCACAGCCACUGUAUUGUAGACCACUAACUGAUCCCAUUAUUUAGUCUGUGAGAUCAGACCCUCUUUUCAAAGAGUGGCCGCUACCUUCAACCACAUGACUACUGCAAGAGAAGCCAUUUCAUACAAUAGAACACAGAUCAUAACAAUUACUGACCACCUCUGAUAAGUCCAGUUAUGUGUAUUUGAACCUAGUUGGACCACUGAGUCACUUUUAGAAGAUAUAAGAGAAAAAAAAAGAAAAAUAUCAAAGUUAUAACAUGUGUUGAAUGCUUACUCUAUUUCAGUAAAUGUUCUAGGCAUUUUCUAUGUAAUAACUCAUUUAAUCUCACAUUGUAGGAAAUAAUACUUCCAUUUAUUUAUUUAUCUAUUUAUUCAGCUUUUUUUUUUUUUAGGGUCCCACCUGUAGCAUAUGGAAGUUCCCAGGCUAGGGGUCGAAUGAGAGCUAUGCUGUUGCUACAGCCACAGCAGCGCAGGAUCCAAGCUGAGAUGUCUGCAACCUGCACCACAGCUCACAGCAACGCCAGGUCCCUGAAACACUGAGCAAGGCUGGGGAUCCACCCACAUCCUCAUGGAUACUAGUCAGAUUUGUUUCUGCUGCACCAAAACAGGAACCCCAAUACCUCCAUUUUAUAUAUAAGAAAACUAAGGGGCACAGAGGUUAAGUGAUUUGCCCAAAGUUAAAAAGAGCUAGUAAGUAACAAAGCUAAAAUGCAAACAAGUUUAGUUUAAUAAUCAUUCCUUUGUCCGCUGUGCUAUAUUACUUCUUCGAUUUUUAGAGAGAGUUUGGGGUGGGGGGAACGGGAGUGAGAGAGGUCUCCAGAGGCUGAUGCCCUCCAGGAACAAGGAUGCAGAUAAGAAAAAGAAAAUAAUAAUUCAGAAAAUGAAAAAGACAAAGUUUAUCACAUUCAAUUUCCAGUCAUUCUG
rnacentral:lncRNA from 1 species